rnacentral:ncRNA from 2 species
GAUGACGAGCGUGUGAUCGGUGUUCCAACCCCACUUGGGGGCGGAACUGAAAAGGGAACGCGGUGCGCCCGAUUGGGCAAAUCCGCGGCUGCCCCCGCAACUGUAAGCGGCGAGCAAGGCUGAUGAUGCCACUGGGGCCGACGCCCCGGGAAGGCCAGCCAAGCCCAGACCCGCGAGCCAGGAGACCUGCCGUUCGCCCGCGCCCCAG